GAUGAACGCUGGCGGCGUGCCUAAUACAUGCAAGUCGAGCGAACGGACGAGAAGCUUGCUUCUCUGAUGUUAGCGGCGGACGGGUGAGUAACACGUGGAUAACCUACCUAUAAGACUGGGAUAACUUCGGGAAACCGGAGCUAAUACCGGAUAAUAUUUUGAACCGCAUGGUUCAAAAGUGAAAGACGGUCUUGCUGUCACUUAUAGAUGGAUCCGCGCUGCAUUAGCUAGUUGGUAAGGUAACGGCUUACCAAGACAACGAUGCAUAGCCGACCUGAGAGGGGGAGCGGCCACACUGGAACUUAGACACGGUCCACACUCCUACGGGAGGCAGCAGUAGGGAAUCUUCCGCAAUGGGCGAAAGCCUGACGGAGCAACGCCGCGUGAGUUAUGAAGGUCUUCGGAUCGUAAAACUCUGUUAUUAGGGAAGAACAUAUGUGUAAGUAACUGUGCACAUCUUGACGGUACCUAAUCAGAAAGCCACGGCUAACUACGUG
rnacentral:rRNA from 1 species